UCUGGCUCUUAACCAGUGCCGGGAUGUCACUGAGCGCCUCUGUGGGUGCUGGCGCAGUGGGGACCCUGCAGGUCCCCGGGAUGUCCCUCCUCUGGAGCUGUGGACCAGAACCAGCUCCGUCAGCACAGGAGGGACCUGGGACUGUAGCCUGGAUGCGAGAACAAGUCAGGAACCUCGAAUGCUUUCUGGGGUUCUCCUUUGACCCAAGCGUUGGGAUUCAACCACUUGCCUCCAUCAUCAUUGGGACAGAGAAAUACCACCACUGUGUCUGGGGGCAGACAGUAGGGAACAAAAAAAUCCCCAACAAGAGCUGCAAAUACAAACAGCACCCAUCAUGCAGAAAUUGCCUUGGCGUGCGGGUCAUUGGUGAUUUCAUUUGAGGAAGGAGAGGGACUUGGGCACAGAGAGACAGAGGAGGCGAGCCAAGGGACAUGAGAGCACAAAGAUGGAGACCGUGGUAUGCUGUUCACCACCCAAGGGACACCGCAGAUUGCUGCCAACACCGGACGCCAGGAGGAGCAGGAAGGAUCUACAGCCUUUGGAGGGAGCGUGGCCCUGCCACAUGCUGAUGUCCCACUUCUAGCUCAGGACCCUGGGAGCCUGCAUUCCUGUUUUUGUAAGGCACCUCGGUUGGGGUGCUUUAUUACAGGGCCCUCAGGAAACAAAUGUUCUAUUAAACUUCUAUUUCAGCUGGAAAGGCCAGGUCUAUUACAUUCCCCCCAAAAUUGAUGAUCUGAAAGCCACCCCAUUUGAUUUACUGGCAUAUGUUUGGUUGCUAUUUACAUCAAUAGGGAUUUAAUGGGAAGCAUCCUUGUAAUGUGCUAGUCCAAGAACACCAGAUUCUCUUGUGAUGACUCUAAGACACCUCUGCUUGAUUCAUCCAGUACUCAGGCGUCUUUACUGACUGUCUACUAUGUGCCUCAGGUCAUGCUUGGGAUGUGGUGAGAAUGAUAAAUAGCAAAUCGUGCUCUGCAAGCCUGUGCAGAAGCAAGCAGGUAAAAAGAUACAUGUGAUGUGGUGUAUGUUUGAUGGGCAUGAGUUUGCGGGCUCUCUGUACCCUGUAGAACAAGGAAGGCCUCCAGCCAGAAGUGGGGCCAGUCUGAAUUCUAGAAAAGAUGCCAGAGCUGGCCAACAAAGUCUUCACACACGAGUGCAUGAACACACACACGGACUGACAUGUGUGUUCCUGGACAGGUGGGGGCUGCACUGGCUGUAAGCACGCAAAGUAAAGGGAACCCACGCGAUGAAGUGGGCUCUGGGAGCCCCAGAGAAAGGUGAGACCCACCGUGGAACUUCAGGCUGAGCACGGCUGGCAGCAUCCAAGACCCAAGAUACGAACGCUAGUGUGCAGAUCAUGAGGGCUGCGUAUGUCAGGUCAAGGAAUUUGGUUUGUCCUAAAAAGGGAAAGCUUUUAAACAUAGUGCAGAUAAGAUCAAUGAACACUUAGAAAGAUCUUUUGAUUUCAAGUUGGAGAACAGAUGGCAGAUAGAGUUGAACCAGGUUGAAUGAUGGGCUGGUCUAAGUAAAUGGAAGGGAGCAUGUGUGAUGGUGACUUGUGUGUCAACUUAGCUAUGGUGCCCAGAAGUUUGUUUAAACACCUGUCUAGAUGUCACUGUGAAGAUGCUUUUUAGGUGAGAUUAACAUUUAAAUCAGCAAACUCUGAGUAAAACUAAUUAUUCUCCAUAGUGUGGUGGGCUUCAUCCAAUCAGUCAAAGUCUUUACAUGUAAGACAGACUUUGCCCAAGAAUAUGGGAGAUUUUGCCUCCAGACGGCCUUCUAGCUCCAUUUGCAACACCUCCUCUGCCCUGCACCUUCAUCCUACUGGUCUACCCUGUGUAUCUUGAACUUGUCUA